GAACGCUGGCGGCGUGCCUAACACAUGCAAGUCGAGCGAUUCUCUUCGGAGAAGAGCGGCGGACGGGUGAGUAACGCGUGGGUAACCUGCCUCAUACACAUGGAUAACAUACCGAAAGGUAUGCUAAUACAGGAUAAUAUAAGAAAUUCACAUGGAUUUCUUAUCAAGGCUCCGGCGGUAUGAGAUGGACCCGCGUCUGAUUAGCUAGUUGGUAAGGUAACGGCUUACCAAGGCGACGAUCAGUAGCCGACCUGAGAGGGUGAUCGGCCACAUUGGAACUGAGACACGGUCCAAACUCCUACGGGAGGCGGCAGUGGGGAAUAUUGCACAAUGGGCGAAAGCCUGAUGCAGCAACGCCGCGUGAGUGAUGAAGGCCUUCGGGUCGUAAAACUCUGUCCUCAAGGAAGAUAAUGACGGUACUUGAGGAGGAAGCCCCGGCUAACUACGUGCCAGCCGCUGC
rnacentral:rRNA from 1 species